CAGGAUGUUACAUCAAAUUAUCGUGUUUGAGCACUUCUGGAUCUGCCGGGCGGAGCCGAGAGAGUGACCGAGGAUGAGAGGCUGUGACCGGCAGAGGAGAGGGUAGACCUCCCGGUGGUGAGACCGGAGCUCCGGAGGGUCAGAGACCCAGAGAGGAACUACUGGGAGAAGUUUAGUCAUGGUUUUAAUGGUUCUACUGGGGCUAGUUAAGAAGGAUUUAAUCCUCACAUGAAGAUUUCCUACCAGAUUAAGACUCCGCUCUGAGACGGACCAGAUCCACGUCGGACUAAAGACAGAGAGCAGAGACGAUGCCACAGAGCAGGAUGAAGCUGGUGGUGACGGGAGAUGACUUUGGUUACUGUCCCAGGAGGAACCAGGGCAUCGUCGACUGUUUCCAGGCCGGAGGACUGUCCAACGUGUCGCUGCUGGUCAACGCCGCCGCCGCUAAGGAGGCCGCUGAUCUGGCCAAGAGACACAGCAUCCCCAUCGGUCUCCAUGCCAACCUGUCCGAGGGCGUCCCCGUGUGCCAGGGUCUGCAGGCGGACUCCACGCUAGUGAACCAGAGGGGGUUCUUCCAUGGGAAGAUGGGUUUCAGAAAAGCUCUGGAGAGAGGACAGCUCAGCAUGAAGCAGGUGGAGCUGGAGCUCAGAGCUCAGGUGAGGCUCUUCACGGAGCUGACGGGUCAUCUUCCUCACCACAUGGAUGGGCACCAACACGUCCACGUCCUCCCAGGUGUGCGCGAGGUGUUUGCCCAGGUGUUGUCCGACCUCAGCAUCACCUUCACUCGUGUUCCGGUUGAGGCUGGCUUACACAGCUGUACCUGGCUGCCUCCUCACCUGCACAGGUUCCACACCCAGGUGGAGAGAGACGCUCUGGAUGCCAUCCCUGUCUUCACACGCUACGGGAUCAGAUGGCCUGACUCGUACUUCGGUCUGACCACGAUGGGAUGCAACAUGUCCGUGUCCAACCUGCACAGGGCGCUCCGCCUGGCGUUCUCGGCGGGCUGCUCGGCUCCUUCCUCUGGUGGGGACGACUCUGAUCAACCCGUGGUCACCGCAGAGCUCAUGGUCCACCCGGGUUACCCCAGCCUGCCCCAGCAGGGGGGGUGUGGAGAGGGGCCUGACGACUUCUCCCGGUCAGCUGACAGACAGCAUGAACUGAGCGUGCUCAGGGACCCCGCCCUGCUGGAAGUGUACAGGCAGGAGAGAGUGCAGCUGUGUGCCUUCAAAGACCUCUGACACCAACACCACCAACCAACCCUGUGCUCAUAUAUUAGUUGACUACAUUUCCCCUCAGCCCCAGGCAGGUCAAAGGUCACGAAUAGAGCAGACUUAAACUCCAGGAAUUAGCGACAGGCGUGUAACAGAAACACAUUCAUAGUCCUUGAUUAUCUCUGACUAUAGAUCAGUACUGAUCAUCGACCCCCACCCAUCACUUCAGGCAGUGGUUCUCAACUGGAGGGUCAGGACCCACGAGUAGGUGGUAAACAGGUGGAAAAAUUCUAGGAGUAAAUUCUGGAGUCUGACUGACUUAUCCUGCUGUCUCAGAAACACCUUGUAGAAAGCUGAUUUCCAGUGAUAAUGCCAUUGUUUCUGCAGAUCUUAAACAAAUCUACUUUAUCGUGGGAAAACUGAAACAACACGUUUACAUGUGUGACCUCCCAAAGGCCUGUCCGCUCUCUUUGUUCAGUCUGAUGUUUGAAUCUAAUUUUUAAUUGAAUGAAUUUCAUUGUUUGAAAAUGAAAGAGCUGUGGGUCAUAAUGUCACAUUCAUAGAGGUGGAGGGUCGUUGGGCUAGGACAGUUCAGAACCACUGAUUUAUGGUGUUAGAGUAUCUCCCACCAACACGUACCAGCAGCCUGUUGCACCAGCUGGGUAUAAGUUCAGCCUAUAGUUCUGGUGUAAAGUCCACCCUUAACCCAACGUUUAGACUUGUUCGGCCUAAAGUUCAGGUGUAAAGUCCACCCUUAACCCAACGUUUAGACUGGUUCAGCCUAAAGUUCUGGUGUAAAGUCCACCCUAAACCCAACAUUUAGACUGGUUCAGCCUAAAGUUCUGGUGUAAAAUCCACCCUUGACCCAACGUUUAGACUGGUUCAGCCUAAAGUUCUGGUGUAAAGUCCACCCAUAACCCAACGUUUAGACUGGUUCAGCCUAAAGUUCUGGUGUAAAAUCCACCCUUAACCCAACAUUUAGACUGGUUCAGCCUAAAGUUCUGGUGUAAAGUCCACCCAUAACCCAACGUUAAGACUGGUUCAGCCUAAAGUUCUGGUGUAAAAUCCACCCUUAACCCAACGUUUAGACUGGUUCAGCCUAAAGUUCUGGUGUAAAGUCCACCCAUAACCCAACGUUAAGACUGGUUCAGCCUAAAGUUCUGGUGUAAAGUCCAUCCUAAACCCAACGUUUAGACUAGUUAAGCCUAAAGUUCUGGUGUAAAAUCCACCCUUAACCCAACAUUUAGACUGGUUCAGCCUAAAGUUCUGGUGUAAAGUCCACCCAUAACCCAACGUUUAGACUGGUUCAGCCUAAAGUUCUGGUGUAAAGUCCACCCAUAACCCAAAGUUUAGACUGGUUCAGCCUAAAGUUCUGGUUUAAAGUCCACCCUAAACCCAACGUUUAGACUGGUUCAGCCUAAAGUUCUGGUGUAAAGUCCAUCCUAAACCCAACGUUUAGACUGGUUCAGCCUAAAGUUCUGGUGUAAAGUCCACCCUAAACCCAACGUUUAGACUGGUUCAGCCUAAAGUUCUGGUGUAAAGUCUACCCUAAACCCAACGUUUAGACUGGUUCAGCCUAUAGUUCUGGUGAAAAUUCCACCCUUAACCCAACAUUUAGACUGAUUCAGCCUAAAGUUCUGGUGUAAAGUCCACCCUUCACCCAACGUUUAGACUGGUUCAGCCUAAAGUUCUGGUGUAAAGUCCACCCUAAACCCAACGUUUAGACUGGUUCAGCCUAAAGUUCUGGUGUAAAGUCCACCCUAAACCCAACGUUUAGACUGGUUCAGCCUAAAGUUCUGGUGUAAAGUCCAUCCUAAACCCAACGUUUAGACUGGUUCAGCCUAAAGUUCUGGUGUAAAGUCCACCCUAAACCCAACGUUUAGACUGGUUCAGCCUAAAGUUCUGGUGUAAAGUCCACCCUAAACCCAACGUUUAGACUGGUUCAGCCUAAUGUUCUGGUGUAAAGUCUACCCUAAACCCAACGUUUAGACUGGUUCAGCCUAUAGUUCUGGUGUAAAGUCCACCCUUAACCCAACGUUUAGACUGGUUCAGCCUUAAUUUCUGGUGUAAAGUCCACCCUAAACCCAACGUUUAGACUGGUUCAGCCUAAAGUUCUGGUGUAAAGACCACCCUAAACCCAACGUUUAGACUGGUUCAGCCUAAAGUUCUGGUGUAAAGUCCACCCUAAACCCAACGUUUAGACUGGUUCAGCCUAAAGUUCUGGUGUAAAGUCCACCUUAAACCCAACGUUUAGACUGGUUCAGCCUAAAGUUCUGGUGUGAAGUCCACCCUAAACCCAACAUUUAGACUUGUUCAGGUGUAAAGUUCACCCUAAACCCAACGUUUAGACUUGUUCAGGUGUAAAGUCCACCCUUAACCCAACAUUUAGACUGGUUCAGCCUAAAGUUCUGGUGUAAAAUCCACCCUUCACCCAACGUUUAGACUGGUUCAGCCUAAAGUUCUGGUGUAAAGUCCACCCAUAACCCAACGUUUAGACUGGUUCAGCCUAAAGUUCUGGUGUAAAGUCCACCCAUAACCCAAAGUUUAGACUGGUUCAGCCUAAAGUUCUGGUUUAAAGUCCACCCUAAACCCAACAUUUAGACUUGUUCAGGUGUAAAGUCCACCCUUAACCCAACAUUUAGACUGAUUCAGCCUAAAGUUCUGGUGUAAAGUCCACCCUUCACCCAACGUUUAGACUGGUUCAGCCUAAAGUUCUGGUGUAAAGUCCACCCUAAACCCAACGUUUCGACUGGUUCAGCCUAAAGUUCUGGUGUAAAGUCCACCCUAAACCCAACGUUUAGACUGAUUCAGCCUAAAGUUCUGGUGUCAAGUCCACCCUAAACCCAACGUUUAGAUUUGUUCAGGUGUAAAGUCCACCCUUAACCCAACAUUUAGACUGGUUCAGCCUAAAGUUCUGGUGUAAAGUCCACCCUAAACCUAACGUUUAGACUGGUUCAGCCUUAAUUUCUGGUGUAAAGUCCACCCUAAACCCAACGUUUAGACUGGUUCAGCCUAAAGUUCUGGUGUAAAGUCCACCCUAAACCCAACGUUUAGACUGGUUCAGCCUAAAGUUCUGGUGUAAAGUCCACCCUAAACCCAACGUUUAGACUGGUUCAGCCUAAAGUUCUGGUGUAAAAUCCACCCUAAACCCAACGUUUAGACUGGUUCAGCCUAAAGUUCUGGUGUAAAGUCCACCCUAAACCCAACGUUUAGACUGAUUCAGCCUAAAGUUCUGGUGUCAAGUCCACCCUAAACCCAACGUUUAGACUUGUUCAGGUGUAAAGUCCACCCUUAACCCAACAUUUAGACUGGUUCAGCCUAAAGUUCUGGUGUAAAGUCCACCCAUAACCCAACGUUAAGACUGGUUCAGCCUAAAGUUCUGGUGUAAAGUCCACCCUUAACCCAACAUUUAGACUGGUUCAGCCUAAAGUUCUGGUGUAAAGUCCACCCAUAACCCAACGUUUAGACUGGUUCAGCCUAAAGUUCUGGUGUAAAGUCCACCCUAAACCCAACGUUUAGAUUUGUUCAGGUGUAAAGUCCACCCUAAACCCAACGUUUAGACUUGUUCGGCCUAAAGUUCUGGUGUAAAGUCCACCCUUAACCCAACGUUUAGACUGGUUCAGCCUAAAGUUCUGGUGUAAAGUCCACCCUUAACCCAACGUUUAGACUGGUUCAGCCUAAAGUUCUGGUGUAAAGUCCACCCUAAACCCAACGUUUAGACUGGUUCAGCCUAAAGUUCUGGUGUAAAGUCCACCCUAAACCCAACGUUUAGACUGGUUCAGCCUAAAGUUCUGGUGUAAAGUCCACCCUAAACCCAACGUUUAGACUGGUUCAGCCUAAAGUUCUGGUGUAAAGUCUACCCUAAACCCAACGUUUAGACUGGUUCAGCAUUAAGUUCUGGUGUAAAGUCCACCCUAAACCCAACAUUUAGACUUGUUCAGGUGUAAAGUCCACCCUAAACCCAACGUUUAGACUGGUUCAGGUGUAAAGUCCACCCUAAACCCAACGUUUAGACUUUAGACAAACAGCGUCCAAAGUGAAUGAAAAUUAUGAUAAGGCCUAUGUGAGUUUUGAAACCCACAGCCUAAACCUAGAGCCAGUAUAAAACACCAACACUGGCAUCUAGUGGUGGAAUCGAUAAUAACACCAGAUAAUUUAACAGUGGACGGUGGAAAUGAUCUCCACUCAUGGGAAACAACAGAGUUACAGAUCCUGGAGAACGCAGAGCUGACACCAAAGUGACGGUGAAAUCCUCAACUCCUCGCCAUCCUCCGGGUUGUCCCAUCUCUCUGAGCUAUCACUUUGACCGCCUUGUUCUACAGCGGACUUUAACCCUAGUAGAGGGUAGGUGUAAGAUUUAAGUUAGAACUUUAGCCUAUGUUGAAACUAUCACUGCUGGUGCAACACCUUAAAUGUUAGCAGAGAGUACACUCUGACGUUCAGACUGGGCCAUGUCUGAACUUAUCACAGCUGGUGGAACCAUAGCUGACCUGGGUUUACACUGACAGUGUUGAAUAACUGAAGAAUCCCUCAGAGGGGACCAUGGUUUAAUAUUCUAGAGUAGAAAUGAAGGAAGUAUUAGAGGAAGUUCAGGCUCAGGAUUGUAACUCUAAGUAGAGACACCACAGCAGCACUACAGGAUCCCGUUUAAACUCACAUUAACAUCCCGUUUGGUGGUCCAGACCCUCUGGUGAUCUUUGAUGGUUUAGAUGGGCACCUCAGUGACAAUGGUCCGAUACCCGAGGGUUCAGAGUGAUGCAGAGGUGGUCUAGGAUGUCUUCAUCUAGUCACGAUUACUGGCCCACAUUAAAGACCACACCAGCAGCUGACCUGGUCUGCUGUAUUCUGAUCGUAAACUAAAGUCAUGGCAUGGUUUCUGUCCGUCCAGCCUCACUCAGACCAAUGAGGACUACGGCUCUGUUUAGGGUGCACUCACACCAGAGCCGGUUGGUCCACUUUGAAUGGUCCGUUUCCCUGGAUAAUCCAGUUCAUUUGGAGUGGACUGAAAGCUCAUCUGGACUCUGGUGUGGACCAAACAAGUGAACUCCUGUCCCCUUAAAAAUGAGGGACUUGGUUCUCUUCUAGACUAACUCUGGUGUGGAUCUAUUGAGUUGUGGAAGCAAAGCGGAUCGACUUGUGAACCGACGACAGGGAGUGACAAACGUAAUGACUUAUGGAUCUAUUUAUGUCAUUUAGUACUCAAAUACAUGCUGGUGCCCCCAGGGACCAUGACUGUCUCUGACUCUCAGGUCCAGUCCUGAUUCACCUGCUGCAUGUCUGCUCAUGCUGACACCAAAGCAAAAGCAGGAACCAGACUGCAUAGUGGUGUUUCAGAUUUCUGGUUUCAUCUUCUUCUCUUCUUCACUGCUCUUUAUUUAGGUGAAAACACCACAAACGUGUAACGGUUGACUUUAUCCAAACGGUUACGUUUGUACGUUAGAGCCCCGAACCAAACCAAGUCCCCCGGACUAUCAGGAGUGAAAACCACCUGAGAGAUCUGGAUGGUUUAGCAUAGCCCAGGAUAAAGGAUGGUCCUUAAGCUCCCACACAGAUCUCCUUUGGUACCAGUCUGACUUUUUAGUCUUUUAACAGCAAAAACCGAAAAAGGAAGCCAGCCCUCAAACAGGAGCUGGCUCCUGUUGUUCACUGGUCACUUGUUGGGAACCACCAGCCAAUAGACCUCCUGAUUGCUUACAUCACUGAUCACAUGACCUUGACCUUCCACAGCAUCACCACCUGCAGGCUCCAGGUGGAGGUAACGCUGAGACUACCUGCACCCCUACAGGGCCUGAAGUCUGAGCUCCAGGCUUCACAGAUACCUGCAGAUCUCAGGUGUGGUGGCGGACCAUUCACGGCAGCGGUGCUGAAAAAGUCUCGUCAACCAGACAGCCACUGCUGGAACAUUGGCACUCUGAUCACGGGCCGUUAUGUAGCGACAGCCAUCAGGGCGUUAAUGCUGAAUAUAAGUGGGGUCAUGCUGCCCGGUGGUCUGAUUUUAAAGGUUUGUUCUUUCUAGAAGCCAUAAAAUCGCUCUGCUGUGUCUGAUCACAGGCGGACAUUUUUGCACAUUUUUAUGAAGACUUUAAACUGAAAUAAGCGAGCACACCUACAUCCUGAUGAAGUUUCAGACUGAUGACACUACACACCACUGCUCUGUCACAGUUAGAGCGCCACCUCCUGGUAAUCAGGGUUAGACAUGUGAGAUUUUUCUGCAGGGAAACAUCAGACCCAUGUGGAGCAUCCUGUAAAACCCAACCACAGACGACAAAAACAGUCACCAUGGAAACAGGAACUCAACAGAUAUGAGUGACCAUCAGGAUCAGGACUGAUGUUGGUCCAAACCCUAAACUCAUUCACACAGGGAAUCUGUUUUGGUGUUUGGUAUUUCUACUGAUGACCCCUGAACCCCUGACAGUCAGAGGAGGAUUCUUAAUCUCUCAAUGUGUAAAUAAUAGUAAUAAUAAUAAUAUAAAAACAUCAGUGACCCAUUCAAAGCUGGGAUAAAGCCCUUCAAAGAAGUCAGAUUUGCACAUAGAAUAUAAAAAUAAAUGUCUAUUUUUAAUGAGUAUAGUUUGACUAUUUAUAAGUAAUAGAACAGCCAGGUGAAGGCUUUAACCCUUUAAUGGCACACAUUUAUCUGUGCAGAUUUAUUUCUAAUAUUUAAAGGCUGCUGUCUCAGUCACAUGUUCUCAGCUCUUUAAUGUCUGAAUGAUCAUCUAAUGUUCAUGUUCACUUCAGACUCAGGAUGUGUGAAACUGGAUUUUGAUGACCAGGUUUUAUCUUUCUAAUGUCAGAAUGAAGUUUAAAAUGAGUGAAUGAUUGAGGUCUAUCCUGUUGUGAUCGUGAAUAACCAGAGAAAGACUGAUGAUACUGUAUGAUAGAGGAUGUCUGUCAGAGGUAAACAGCUGAGUGAAGCUGCUAUGGAGAGUGAUGACUGAGAUUACCUGGGCCUGAUGAUCCUGGUUAGGACUCUGAUCUAAGCCUCUAUGGAGACCAAUGUCUGAGAUUACCUGGGCCUGAUGAUCCUGGUUAGGACUCUGAUCUAAGCCUCUAUGGAGACCAAUGACUGAGAUUACCUGGGCCUGAUGAUCCUGGUCAGGUCUCUGAUCUAUGCUUUUAUGGAGACUGAUGACUGAGAUUACCUGGACCUGAUAAGUCUGGUCAGGAAUCUGAUCUAAGCCUCUAUGGAGACUGAUGACUGAGAUUACCUGGACCUGAUAAGUCUGGUCAGGAUUCUGAUCUAAGCCUCUAUGGAGACUGAUGACUGAGAUUACCUGGGCCUGAUGAGUCUGGUCAGGACUCUGAUCUAAGCCUCUAUGGAGACUGAUGACUGAGAUUACCUGGGCCUGAUGAUCCUGGUCAGGACUCUGAUCUAAGCCUCUAUGGAGACUGAUGACUGAGAUUACCUGGACCUGAUAAGUCUGGUCAGGACUCUGAUCUAAGCCUCUAUGGAGACUGAUGACUGAGAUUACCUGGGCCUGAUGAUCCUGGUCAGGAUUCUGAUCUAAGCCUCUAUGGAGACUGAUGACUGAGAUUACCUGGACCUGAUAAGUCUGGUCAGGACUCUGAUCUAAGCCUCUAUGGAGACUGAUGACUGAGAUUACCUGGGCC